rnacentral:misc_RNA from 1 species
AAAAAAAAAAAAAUAGCAUUUUACUAUAAGCUGUUAAUAUAAGCCAACAUGAAGGAGAAGCCCCAAGAGCCUUUUUUUCUUCUUUUUUCUUGCUUACAGAAGUUUGAUCAGAGAAAUUAUACUCUCUCCAUAUUGCAUUGAAUCUUAAACUUUACUCAGAAAUUCAAAGUACAAUCUCCUCACUUGGGAGAAAAAGAAAUAAGAAUAUAAAUAAUUAAAAAAAUUUCACCUUUCUUGUCCCUUUUAAUAAAAUUUAUUCUAAUUCCUCACUUG